ACUCCUACGGGAGGCAGCAGUGGGGAAUAUUGCACAAUGGGCGCAAGCCUGAUGCAGCCAUUCGCGUGUAUGAAGAAGGCCAUCGGGCUUGGUUAAAGAUACUUUCAGCAGUGAGGAAGGUGGAGUCGUUAAUAGCGGCCUCAUUUGACGUUAGCUGCAGAAGAAGCACCGGCUAACUCCGUGCCAGCAGCCGCGGUAAUACGGAGGGUGCGAGCGUUAAUCGGAAUUACUGGGCGUAAAGCGCAUGCAGGUGGUUUGUUAAGUCAGAUGUGAAAGCCCGGGGCUCAACCUCGGAAUUGCAUUUGAAACUGGCAGACUAGAGUACUGUAGAGGGGGGUAGAAUUUCAGGUGUAGCGGUGAAAUGCGUAGAGAUCUGAAGGAAUACCGGUGGCGAAGGCGGCCCCCUGGACAGAUACUGACACUCAGAUGCGAAAGCGUGGGGAGCAAACAGGAUUAGAUACCCUGGUAGGAUAGCGU
rnacentral:rRNA from 1 species